rnacentral:rRNA from 1 species
AGCAGCCGCGGUAAUUCCAGCUCCAAUAGCGUAUAUUAAAGUUGUUGCAGUUAAAAAGCUCGUAGUUGAAUUUCGGGAUCAUCAGGUUGGUCGUGCCUCUGGUAUGUACUGAUUUCGAUGGUCCCUCCUUCUUGAAGAGCCGUAAUGCCAUUAAUUUGGUGUUGCGGGGAAUCAGGACUGUUACUUUGAAAAAUUAGAGUGUUUAAAGCAGGCAAUCGCUUGAAUACAUUAGCAUGGAAUAAUGAAAUAGGACGUCCGAUCCUAUUUUGUUGGUUUCUAGGAUUGACGUAAUGAUUAAUAGGGAUAGUUGGGGGCAUUAGUAUUCAAUUGUCAGAGGUGAAAUUCUUGGAUUUAUUGAAGACUAACUACUGCGAAAGCAUUUGCCAAGGAUGUUUUCAUUAAUCAAGAACGAAAGUUAGGGGAUCGAAGACGAUCAGAUACCGUCGUAGUCUUAACCGUAAACUAUGCCGACUAGGGAUCGGAUGAUGUUAAUUUUUUAAUGACUCAUUCGGCGCCUUAC